UUCACUUCUUGUUUUGUUUGUUUAGAGAUCAAGUGUAGUAUCUGUUCUUAUCAAUUUAAUUUACUAUCGGAUAUGGUCCACGUAGCCCACGAUAUUAACUCAAUUGUUUUAGGGAGACUUGACCAAGAAUUCUCGCUCUUCGCCCAUGCAUUGCACUUUUGCACGGGCGUGGCUCACCCU
rnacentral:snRNA from 1 species